GACCGUGGGCCCAUAUAUUCAAAGUGCUAACAGAAAUAACUGUCAACCAAGAAUCUUACAUCUGUCGAAACUGUCCUUCAAAAGUGAGGGAGAAAUAAGAUAUUCCCAAGUAAACAAAAGCUUAGGGAGUUCAUUACAACUAGACCUGCUUGGCAAGAAACUCUCAAAGAAGUCAUGUGAGGUGAAAUGAAAGGACAUUAGAUAGUAACUAUAAGCCAUAUGAAGAAAGAUCUCAAUAAAGGUAUCCUCUACCUCUGAGGACAUGGAAAGCUGCACUAAUCCAUCUCCUGAAGUUGGACAUAACCAUGUGAUUUGAUUUCACCAUGAAAGUUGAGUGGAUGUGACAACUACAGUUUGCAUGUGGAAGUAUUUAACUGCAGAUUCUUGAGACUAUAGCUUGGCUUUUCCUUUGCCACAAGAAUUAUGGAAUGCCAACAGAGCAAAAGCCAAUGUAACCCAUAAGCCCCUGGGCAUAUGAUGAUCAUCACCAGGAUGAGAGGCUGUGGAAAGGACAGGCCAACCAGACUGCGGUUUGAAUGCAUAUCCUGAAGACUCUGUCCUCCAAAGAUAUCCUUUGAAAAACAUAGCUCUGAUCAUGAUACUCUACAGUUUAAAAGUCAGCCCUUUCCAUCUAGUCGCUGAGUGGCCCAUGUUCCUCCCUGGCCCCACUUCUUUGCACAUAUGUGCCUGGAAUGCCUCUCUCCAACUCUUUCUCCCUGCGAAAUUUGGCAAGCUCGAAUGCCACCUCCUCUGAGAAGUCUUCCCUGACUACCAAAACAGUCAGUUGUUCCUUCCUCUGUGCUCCCUUAGCACUUUGUA